rnacentral:rRNA from 1 species
GAUGAACGCUGGCGGCGUGCCUAAUACAUGCAAGUCGAGCGAACGGACGAGAAGCUUGCUUCUCUGAUGUUAGCGGCGGACGGGUGAGUAACACGUGGAUAACCUACCUAUAAGACUGGGAUAACUUCGGGAAACCGGAGCUAAUACCGGAUAAUAUUUUGAACCGCAUGGUUCAAUAGUGAAAGACGGUCUUGCUGUCACUUAUAGAUGGAUCCGCGCUGCAUUAGCUAGUUGGUAAGGUAACGGCUUACCAAGGCAACGAUGCGUAGCCGACCUGAGGGGGUGAUCGGCCACACUGGAACUGAGACACGGUGCAGACUCCUACGGGAGGCAGCAGUAGGGAAUCUUCCGCAAUGGGCGAAAGCCUGACGGAGCAACGCCGCGUGAGUGAUGAAGGUCUUCGGAUCGUAAAACUCUGUUAUUAGGGAAGAACAAAUGUGUAAGUAACUAUGCACGUCUUGACGGUACCUAAUCAGAAAGCCACGGCUAACUACGUG